UGAUUUGACACUAUGCUGCUAUGGAAAACAUUGCAUUUAUUUUACAAUUUUAGAAAACAGAUUAGUAUCAUAGAGUAUAUUGGUUAUAUUCCAGACAUAGGAAUGAAAGAAAUAGGAAUAAUAUCUACAUUUGUAAGACUACCAAGGUGAGUCUUACACAAAACCUUUCAACAUUACUAAAAUACUAAGUUUAAGUCCAAAAUACAGUUGUGGUAUACAGAUCCCUUCAAUUUCUCUAGGGUUGUUUUCUCUAUCUGUAUAACAGCGUAUGAAGUACUAAUUGAACCACAUUUUUGAGCAUUCAAAAUAAGUGAUAUCUUUUACUGAGUGCUAAACAGUUUUAAUAGCAUAUAUUUAAUGAACUAUGAGAUGUGGAUUAAAUUUCUCCUAUUAUUCUCCUAUUCUCCUAUCUGGGGUCCCCAGAUGCUCAACUGUUAAGCAUCCAACUCUUGGUUUUGGCUCAGAUCCCGAUCUCAGUGUCCUGAGAUCAAGCCCCUCAUGGGCUCCAGGCUCAGUGAGGAGUCCACUUCCCUUUCCCCCUGCUCACCCCUACUCCCUCCCACACACUUUCUCUAAAAUAAAUAAAAUAAAAACUUUAAAAGAAUUUUUCUCAAAAAAAAAGAAUUUUUCUCCUACUUUAUAUUUGGAAAAUCUGAGGCACAAAAAUUUUAUAUAUUCUGUGCAGUAUUCCAUUUUGUAUUUGUAAGAAAACCUUUAGUGGAUUCAGGCUGAAUAUCUCGAAAACCCUUUUUUAAAACAUGAGAUAUACGAAUUCUCCAAAUGUGUGUCAUUAUCUAACACCUCUGUGCUAUUUGCAUACAUUUAUAACUCAGUCUUCUUUCCUUAUGUAUAUUUUUAGCCUCAAUAUAAUUAUUACCUUCUUCUAAAAGUCCUCCCAGAACUCCAAAAUUACUUAGAAGCUAUACGGUAUGCCCUAUUGUAUUUUUUUUAAGAUUUAUUUAUUUAUUUAUGAUAGAGAGAGAGAGAGAGAGAGAGAGAGAGGCAGAGACACAGGAGGAGGGAGAAGCAGGCUCCAUGAUCGAGUCCCACAUCGGGCUCCCUGCAUGCUUCUCCCUCUGCCUGUGUCUCUGCCCCCUCUCUCUCUCUCUGUGUCUCUCAUGAAUAAAAUAAAAUUUUAAAAAACCCUAAAUGAAUAUAUAUAUUAAUUACAUAUUUUAACUAAAUAUAUAUAUUAACCUAAAUAUUUAUAUAUGUACCUAAAGUGGAAAAGGACACAUAUUCUCUAAUUUAUCUAUUUGUAAAUUAUUUUUCCAUCUGAAAUUUACAAUGAUACAUAAUUACAUGCUAAAGAUAAUUCUAACUUCUUUCCUAACCAUUUGUUCUCUUUAUUGUAAUAUUUCUCACAAUUUUUUCUCUUUUUUUAAAAAUUUUUUUAUUUAUUUAUGAUAGUCACAGAGAGAGAGAGAGAGGCAGAGACAGAGGCAGAGGGAGAAGCAGGCUCCAUGCACUGGGAGCCCGAUGUGGGAUUCGAUUCCGGGUCUCCAGGAUCGCGCCCUGGGCCAAAGGCAGGCGCCAAACCGCUGCGCCACCCAGGGAUCCCUUUUCUCUUGAACUUGAAUAUUUUCUUUGGCUAAUAUGCAUUUUUACCCAUUCUUCCUGAGUCGACUCAACUCUACAUGCAUAAUUUAAAUAAAAGAACAUGAAUCAUUUUUAGUGUAGUUUUCCAUCAUUUUUAUUCCACCUGAGCAAAAGACACAAAGUUGUUCUGUGUUUUAGAAAUUGUAUCCGAGUGAUUUUCAAAACCAGGAUUUAGAGUUAUAUAUAAUUCCUAUGAUAGUCAAUGACUAAGCAGGAUUGACUUCCAUUAAUUAGAUAAAGUGAAUCUUUUUCUGUACUAAGAAUACACAAUUAUUAUCAACUUUCUUGACUGACUAAGCUAUGGCAUUCAAAUGGUUGGUUGUCUUUUAGGAAAUAUAAUAAAUACAACAAAGGAAAACAUGACAAAAACAAACAACAUAUUUUAAUGAAAAUAUUCUGUAUUUUUUCAAUUAACCUUUUUGAGGUGUAUUCCUAAUGUGUCUACAUAAUUUGGGUCACUGCUUUUUAAUAUUCCCCAAUAUCUUUGUAAAACUAUUGAUUACUUCAGAAAUUAUUGUAGGAAAGUAAAAUCUGCCAUCCCAAAAUGUGUCUCUUUGACAUGACGAUUAAUUUAAGAUGAUUAUUUUUAAGAAAUGGAGGUCUCAGAAUGUUUUCCUUUUUACCUCCUCAAAUGUCUAAAAGAAUUUAGAUAAAAGACUUUCUUCAAAAAGGGAGAUAUUACCACAAAUAAUUAUGGUUGUUUGUAUGCUAAUAUGAAUUGGCAAGAUCUAAAAUGUGGUCGAGAGGGAGGACCUUAGCAAAGUCUGGUUCUUAAAAUUCUUCUUUAUGUUCAUUCUUUCUGUGUGGCCCAGCAAAAAUUUGUUUCCCAAACACUUACUCUUUUUCAUUUUCCUUUGAAAUCUCUUCCUUGUCUUUGAAGUCCCAGACCCCUACAUCCUUUGUAGCUUAAAAUGGUAGUCUCAAAUGCCUGACUGCCCAUAAUUCUCAUAAUCUUACAAAGCUCCCUUCCCAUAUAUAUGCUAUUAAUUUGAUAUUUUCCUGUUAAUGUCUCAUGUCAAUUUAAUUCUUAAACCAGCAAAAAGAAUCUGAAUAGUAGAGUAAAAUGUUUCCUCCCAAACAUUAUAUUACUGUCUGUCCUUUCUAAGUGUAAAAAUUCUGUU
rnacentral:lncRNA from 1 species